rnacentral:rRNA from 1 species
ACAUGCCUACAAUAUAUUGUUAAUGCACUAGAUCCCAUUCAAGCUCUAUAGUUAAGCACGCUCGGGAUAGAGUAGUAUUGGGAUGGGUGAUCAUCUGGGAAGUCCUAGUAUUUUACAUGCC